AUGCUUAAGAUAGAUCUAGCCAAAGCUUUUGAUCGUCUAGAAUGGAAUUUUAUUGUGACUGCUCUUGCUCGUAAAGGGCUGCAUGGUCACUUCAUUAAUUUAAUUCAUGCAUGUGUUUCUUCUCCUAUGUUCUAUGUGCUGAUUAAUGGACAACCCUCUCAUAAGUUUAGGAGCUUUCAAGGUAUUCGUCAGGGCUGUCCAAUGUCUCCUUAUUUGUUUGUUAUUGCCAUCAAUGAAUUAUCUAUUGCUCUCAACGAAGCUCUUGCUGCUCAUCAUUUGCAGGGUAUUUCGCUUGGACCAAAUUGCCCUUCAAUUCACUCUUUGUUAUUUGCAGAUGACUUGUUGGUUUGUGGGCAAGCC
rnacentral:rRNA from 1 species